CGGCGGACGGGUGAGUAAUGUCUGGGAAACUGCCCGAUGGAGGGGGAUAACUACUGGAAACGGUAGCUAAUACCGCAUAACGUCGCAAGACCAAAGAGGGGGACCUUCGGGCCUCGCGCCAUCAGAUGAACCCAUAUGGGAUUAGCUUGUAGGUAAGGUAACGGCUUACCUAGGCGACGAUCCCUAGCUGGUCUGAGAGGAUGACCAGCCACACUGGAACUGAGACACGGUCCAG
rnacentral:rRNA from 1 species